UUCAUCUCUGAGCCAAUCACCGAGGCCAGGAAGACAGGGAGCCCUGAUUGGUCUGCUCUGGCGGUGAGCGUGGCUACUGGACCUGGCACCUUUGGAGGUCCGCCUUUGAGGUUUCAGGCAAGAACCUGGAGUCUCCUCCCAAUCGUCUCUAAUAGGCGGAGCCCUCAGAAGACAAUUCUUCCAGCAACACGGGCUGCUGGCAGGCGCAGAGGGGCAGAGUAGGUGGGGCCAGCCAGCUUUGAGCCAUCUCUGGAAGAAGCCUAUGUGCGCUUUCGGGCUGCUCAGCGGGUGCGGCCACCAGGGGGCAGCAUCCCCUUGUAGUCACCGCUGUCUCCGCAAGCAAGAGACUCUUUCCAGCAGAGGGCACUGCUCAUCGCCUUGUUCGCUGGGACAGAUUUUGGGGGAGGGAGAAGUGAGAUGAGGAGCAGAGUUGGCAUGGACAGAAGUUGACAGCCACAUUGGCCUAGAACCAUGGACAUUUUAGGACCUUGUUCCUGGUUUGUAUAAGGGUAAGACUUUGUCCUUGACAGAUGGUGGUGGCACACGCCUUUAAUCCCAGCAUUUGGAUGGGAUGCCAGCUUGGUCUACAAAGGGAGUCCUCGGACAGCCAGAACUGUUACAGAGACCUGUCUUGAAAAACAAAACAAGUCAAUGAGACAUUGCCCUAAAUAUUGAAGUCUUAUUCAUAGGGUUUGACGACAGAAACUAAUAAAGGACUCUAUAUGAGAGAAGACCCUUGCAGCCCUAUCAAGAGGAAAUGUUUGUUCAAGGUAUAAAUGACAAUAAACAUAGUCCAGGACGUGG